rnacentral:rRNA from 1 species
UAAAGGUAUUUCACGUUCAGCGAGGUGUAAAGGUAUUUCACGUUCAGCAGUCGUGCUGCCAAAUUAUUAUUGAGUGAGUGCUCAGAGAAGGUGAAAAGCCUGUGUGGUUGUGUCGGUCUGCUGAACUGGAGUACUGGAGAGUCUAGUUGUUUGAGAGUACAACUUAAAGCUGGUGGUAAAUUCCAUCAAAGGCUAAAUAUAUGAAGGGACUAAUAGCGAACAAGUACCAUGAGGGAAAGUUGAAAAGAACUCUGACGAGAGAGUUCAACAGUACGUGAAACCAUAAUCAGAAAAACGGAUAACUGUGUUUUUAUGUGGUGUGCUCUUCAACAGUGUACGCUAGUGUUGCGUCGGCCGAAGAAUGCGCUGUUUUUCAGUUGCCUGCUUCGGGUUAGCACGCUGGUGUUCUCUGUGAUUUGGUGCGCACCCGUCCAUUGAGAAACCAUGGGCCGGCGCUAUCGAUGUGUGUCAGUUCGCACUCUGUGCGGAGAUGCUCGCUGGAAGUUGCUUGGGCCGUGGUUUAGCUGGGUGUCAGCUGCGGGAUGUGUUUGCUAAAGGCGUCUGCUUUGUCUGCAAACUGGUUUAUUCCGUUUUGCGGUGAGUACGGCGUCGUAGGCAAGUGUCCCGUCAUCAAUGGUUAACGUUAGUUAUUCGACCCGUCUUGAAACACGGACCAAGGAGUUCAAAUGGCACGCGAGUCAUUGGGUUUCGACACCCGAAGGCGAAGUGAAAUGCGAAUGGAUUGUUAUUUGUGGUUGUUCCAUAAUUAAAUGAUAAGCU